GACGCAUUCCAUUGUAAGUUGACACUUUCUGGGGUUUUCUGUGUGAAAUCUAUGUAUAUGGAUUUAGUUCACUUUUGUUCGAUCUUCCAUUCAAAGCAUAUUUGGAAAACAGAAUUACCAUUAAAAAUUAAUAUUUACAUGUGGUUUGUUCAUAGUGGAGUGAUUCUUACUAAACAUAUUCUUGCAAAAUGGAGAUGGUAACAUAGUAAACAAUGUUGUUUUUGUGAUCAGGAGGAAGCAAUGCAUCAUUUGCUUAUUGUUUGCGUUUGCUACACUCUUAUGGCGUACGAUUCAUGUGGCAUUCAGCUUACUCUGCCCAUCAAUAUAGAUAAUAUGUUUGUAACUGCUUUGUGGGGGAGGGGGAUGGACUUGAGUUAA
rnacentral:rRNA from 1 species